rnacentral:rRNA from 1 species
GACGAACGCUGGCGGCGUGCUUAACACAUGCAAGUCGAACGGAAAGGCCCUGCUUUUGUGGGGUGCUCGAGUGGCGAACGGGUGAGUAACACGUGAGUGACCUGCCCUUGACUUUGGGAUAACUUCAGGAAACUGGGGCUAAUACCGGAUAGGAGCUCCUGCUGCAUGGUGGGGGUUGGAAAGUUUCGGCGGUUGGGGAUGGACUCGCGGCUUAUCAGCUUGUUGGUGGGGUAGUGGCUUACCAAGGCUUUGACGGGUAGCCGGCCUGAGAGGGUGACCGGCCACAGUGGGACUGAGAUACGGCCCAGACUCCUACGGGAGGCAGCAGUGGAGAAUAUUGCACAAUGGGCGGAAGCCUGAUGCAGCAACGCCGCGUGCGGGAUGACGGCCUUCGGGUUGUAAACCGCUUUCGCCUGUGACGAAGCGUGAGUGACGGUAAUGGGUAAAGAAGCACCGGCUAACUACGU